rnacentral:rRNA from 1 species
GAUGAACGCUAGCUACAGGCUUAACACAUGCAAGUCGAGGGCAGCACAGUGUAGCAAUACGACGGGUGGCGACCGGCGCACGGGUGCGUAACGCGUAUCCAACCUUCCCGUUACUCCGGGAUAGCCUUCCGAAAGGGAGAUUAAUACCGGAUGGUGUUUGAAGUCCGCAUGAAAUUCAAACUAAAGAUUUAUCGGUUAUGGAUGGGGAUGCGUAAGAUUAGGUAGUAGGCGGGGUAACGGCCCACCUAGCCGACGAUCUUUAGGGGUUCUGAGAGGAAGGUCCCCCACACUGGUACUGAGACACGGUCCAGACUCCUACGGGAGGCAGCAGUGAGGAAUAUUGGUCAAUGGUCGAGAGACUGAACCAGCCAUGCCGCGUGAAGGUCACGGCCCUAUGGGUCUUAAACUUCUUUUGCAAGGGAGCAAUAAGUCCCACGUGUGGGAUGAUGAGAGUACCUUGCGAAUAAGCAUCGGCUAACUCCGUG